CUUUUCCUCAAUGUGGCCCUAAGACUCUGUCUUACCAUAGACCUACAACAAUGAUAAAUAAAAAUGAAAAUGUAAACAAAAAACAGUUAUUCAUUUCCAUUUUUAAAAAUCCACAGGGAGCCACUGGAGAGGAGCUGAAGAGCCUCAGGUUGCUGACCCCUGACCUAUAC